AAACUUCUUCCAUCACAGCAAGAGGAUAAAUAAUACGGUAACAUAAAGUUUUCCUAAGGAGAAAAUACGCAAGUGCUGAAUAGACCAGAAGGCUGUUAAACUAUCAUGCAGUAAAAGUAGGCAGAAGGCAUUUCUUGGAUAACUUUUGGUGUUUAUCAAGGAGGAGGUGACAUUUGAGACAAAGUUAUAUUUCUGUAAUUUUUAAAGUUCUUUUGACUAGUGCUUUUUAAGGCUUUCUGUUUUCUUGUAUUUAAUUUUAUUCAUACUUUUAAUCUCCAUUUUGCAGGAGGUGGGGGUGGGUGAAGUUAAGUACUGUGAGUUUUUGAGUCGGCAGCCCUAUCAGUCAUGCUUUUAGUAACUACAGUUUCAUAGAAUGAAAAUACAAACAUAACCACCAUAAUAUAGAGAACUUUUACUUAGAUAUUGGAGGAUUAUAAUUUUUUUUUUUUUUUAAGAUUUUAUUUAUUUAUUCAUGAUAGUCACACAGAGAGAGACAGAGAGGCAGAGACACAGGCAGAGGGAGAAGCAGGCUCCAUGCUGGGAGCCCGACGUGGGAUUCGAUCCCGGGUCUCCAGGAUCGCGCCCCGGGCCAAAGGCAGGCGCCAAACCGCUGCGCCACCCAGGGAUCCCUGGAGGAUUAUAAUUUUUUAAAGAAAGGCUCAACUUGACCUUGAAAGAAGUUCUAACAAGUAUUUAUGUAAAUUUGGAAAGAAAAAGAUAACAAGUGAAGUGAAAUAUGCAAAAUUUCCAGUUAAAACAAUGAAAUAUUUCUAAAGAGGUACGUUUGCAGUGUUUUUAGAUAUGUGUAACAUUAAAGUGAAACAAAAGACUUACUGGAUGACUGUGAUAUUUAAGAUUAAAAAUUUGUUUUCCUCCAACAAAUUUUGGGGGGAGAAUAAAAUAUUCCAUCUCUCUCAAUUUCCAAAAGAUGAAAAGGUUCUGUUUAGUGCUUUCAUUUAAUACCUACUGAGGGAGGGAUGAAAUUAAUCUAGAAGCAGACUUGGAUAGGAAUCUUACUACUGACAUUUUAGCUGUACAAGGUAGGGAAGUCUUUGCUAGAGAACGUAGUUAGUUCUAGGAUUUCUUUGUAACAAUAGCUCAUAUUAGUGGUGGGUAGUUAAUUCUGGUGGAGCACUUGGAAUUAUAGGAGUGGCCCAUUCUUACACUUUCCAGCUACUUUUCCUUAGGGCAACAGGUUCUGUAGGGAUGUUGUCGGCUGCCUUAGAGGUCGACUCAGGUGACAGAUAUGCCAACAUUCUCACUGUGACAAACAAGGGUCACUGGUUUAGGACCUUCUUCAGCUAGCAGCAUCUUCUUUUUUGUUACCUAGCCCCCCAAUCGCUAAGUCAAUGCCUAUUUUAUAUUUAACUUUAGCACCCCAUUUCUGUUACCAGUUCCUAUGGUUGCUUGGGUUUGAGCUAAGCUGGUGUAAUAAACACUUCCUCAAAAUUACAGUGGCCCUAAUGAUAGAAGCUUCUUUCUGUCUGAUAUUUUCUGUUGCUAUUUCACUUAUUUUUCCCUGAAGUGGUGUUUUGGAAGAACUUCAGUUCUUCUCUCCUGUGUGUCUCCUUUACUUUCACACAGAGCACUUCACUUUAGCCACUUUCAGUUACCAAAAGUGUGGAAAUUACCCCCCACUAGGCGAUUCUCUAGCAUGCCAUCUGGUUGUCUUGCACUUUAACUCAGUUCUGACGCUGUGUCCCUGGAGACAGCAUCAGAUGCCACAGGUUGGGGGCUCAGUUCCAUACACCGCAAGUUCCAUGGCAAUUGCAGGUAGUAGGUCUCCAUGUUGUGUGCAAUGUCUGGCCAACUUGGCCACACGUUAGAGCUUCCCAUGACCUUUGGAUUAGGUUGAUUUACUAGAGCGGCUCAUAGAACUCAGGGAAACACUUAGGUUUACCAGUUUAUUGAAGGAUAUGGUAAAGGACACAGACGACCAGCAAGUUGAAGAGAUACAUAGAGCGAAGUCUGGGACAGUCCCGAGGGCAGGGGCUUCCUUCCUCGUGGUGUUGGGGCGCAGCACCUCCCAGUACUAGAAUGUGUUCACCCACCUGGAAUCUCUCUGAACCCUGUGCUAUUGGGAUUUUUAUGGGGGCUUCAUGUAGGCAUGGGAGAUCAUGAACUCUACUUUCAGCCCUUCUCUCUUCUCAAGAGAAAGAAAGACAAGGCUGAAAACUCUAGGCUUCCAGUCCAUGGCUUGUUCUUUCCAGUAACUGCUCUCAUCCAGGACCACCUUCAGUCACCUUAUUAGAACAAAAGACACUUCUGUCACCUAGAAAACUGCAAAGGUUUCAGAAAGCCUGUGGCAGGAACAGGGAUCAGAGUCAACUCUGUGUUUUUUCCUGUUAUUUCACAGGCGGACAGGUGGUCUGGGGUGGAUGGGCCUUUGGGCGCUGCCUGGUUCUUGUAUUCUGUUGCCCUGCAUCCCUUAGGGUGCUGCUGUCAUCUGCAUGGUUGAAGUGGC
rnacentral:lncRNA from 1 species